GGCGGGUUGGCUGAGUGGCCUAUAGCUCCGGGCCGUAACCCCGGCAACGGCUUUCACCGUUCGUCCGUCCGAAUCGGACACCCGCCGCCA
rnacentral:tRNA from 1 species